UGCGGGGUGGAGCAGUGGUAGCUCGUUGGGCUCAUAACCCAAAGGUCGUCGGUUCGAAUCCUUCCCCCGCUA
rnacentral:tRNA from 1 species